AAAUCGGUCCUUUUCAGGACCACAAAAAGUACUCAAUGAGAUUAGAU
rfam:Drosophila ficusphila Contig5507, whole genome shotgun sequence